rnacentral:rRNA from 1 species
UACGGGGGGGGCAAGCGUUGUUCGGAAUUACUGGGCGUAAAGGGCUCGUAGGCGGCCAACUAAGUCGGAUGUGAAAUCCCCAGGCUCAACCUGGGAACUGCAUCCGAUACUGGAUGGCUUGAAUUCGGGAGAGGGAUGCAGAAUUCCAGGUGUAGCGGUGAAAUGCGUAGAUAUCAUGAGGAAUACCAGAGGCGAAGGCGGCUACCUGGACAAUUGCUGACGCUCAGGCACGAAAGCGUGGGGAGCAAAAGGG